UUGUCUUUUCUCUUUCUUACAGAGUCAGAGUCAGGAGGCAGCAGGUAAAGCUCACUGGAGGAGAUAAGCAGACUGUCAUGAUUUAGAUUGAAUAUUCAGUAUAUGAAGUGUCCAUCUCCAAACCUUUUCAUGUCGCUUGCUGUCCUUAUUUACACCAGGAAAGAAGUUUCGGAGCAGAAGGGAAGUGGUAAUGGAAGUGAUGUUAACAUGGAAGGCAGGCAGUGACAUCAUCAUGAGGAGCUGGAAGUGAUGUCGUCAAAUGGGACUGGCAUGGUACCAAGCAAGAGAAGCGACUUUGUUAGAGUGCCCCCUCCAGGCCGUGUACUGCUUAGCAAUGCUGUUUUUCUGCAUCUCCUUGACCGUGACUGUGUCUGCAGUCUGCUCCUGUCUGUUUGAUGGCUGUUUAUUCUACAGAUGUUUGGUAGCAGCAGUAGCCAAAAUCUGUGGAGUUUGCUGUACUGUACUGAGGCAUCACCCUGGUAUUUCUGAGCCUCUGGGAGUAGUUAUUAAAGUAGAUGUUCAGCCAGAGUUGAACUUAGAGAGGUAAGUAAAGCCCAUGUUUAAAUACCUUCUGUUAAACCCUGUAGGUGUCAGGAAAAGCUGAACUCACAACUCACUCUUUUUGGCCAUUUGUAAUGAGGAUUUUCCUUUAGCCAAUGGUAAGAGUGUGUGAUGAUCCGGGUCAGCUGCAUGCUUCCUUCUUGAUUCUGGGAGCCUCUUUGACCCUAAGCCAUUGAUAGCCAUAACAGAGAUGAGCCAGGCAAAUGAGGACACAUACUAUACAUCUAACAAUCAAAAGAAUAAAAGAGGGUUCAAAUAUACAGUACUGCGAGUCAAGUGUUCAUCAAAUAAACAAUCCAUAAAAUAUCAUCAGUGAAAGUGAUGGUUAGAAAUAGUCCAAAUAAAUAUUCCAAUAAAAACAAUGAGGUUAAAAAUCCAGAAACAGUUUGCAUUAUCUAUGAGCCCCAGUGCUUACACUAAAAUCUGGGGUCUCCAUCAUUUAUCCUGUUCGGAACUUGCAGAAGGAAGAGACGCAUGCCAACAGGUGCAGUCAACCCGGGGCGCAGCACCAAGCCGCAUAUGUCUCCUGUUUCCUGUCCCUCGGCGUCUGCAGGAGACAACACAUUUUGGGUCCCAGAAAAUCACUCAGUAGGUGCGCCCAAUUCUAGGCUCACACCCAACCACCUGCCUCUCUCUCUUUCUCUCUGUUUCUGUUUCUCUGUUCUUCUCUCAUUUUUUACCUCCAUUCUCUCUUUCGUUUUCAGUUCUCUUCAUCUUUCUAUUUUCCCUCUCUAAUAUUUUCUUAUGCUGUACUCUUGAUAUGGUUUUAUUGGGCACACUGAUGCGUGAAUGCAGCACCCAACCGAUCUGUGUGUGUGCAAUAGGCCAAGCUAACACAAUCGACCAUGCAGUGGCGCCGUCUUGUGCACACCUGCGCCCAUGCCAAGCCUCCACAUUCUGAGACACGAUUAUUCAUUUAAAAUAUGCUAUACACCACAGAUCAUUUAUCACAGAGUGGAACACUCAUUCACAGCCUGGAAGCAGCCCACUCCUCCAGGAUAGCCUACUCCUUCUUUCUUAUCUGAAUGCAGUAAGGAAACAAUCCACUUUUGGAUGGUGUAGAACAGGCCUCUGUCCUGGUAGGUCAUUUUUCCCCAGGCAGAAUAUAUUCCUCUCUUUCCACAAUUGCUGAGGUCCUCUGAAUUUGAAAAUCUCUCCUUUGCUUAAGACUCCUUGUUUCUUUUGAACUACUUCCUGCCUUUUCAGUUGUCCAGUCCACAGUACAUCUCAAGUCUUAAAAGUGCAGAUUUGUACAAGUCAGCACAAUCAAAUGAGGCAACACACAAUAAAGUGAGAAGACAACACUGAUGUGGCAGCAUUUUGUAUCUACUAGCCACAUAUCUGCAGAACAGAGAUAACAGAUAAUACAGUUUAAAAUAUUUGAUAUCUCUUGCUCUUUGUGCACCUUCAGUGCCUUUCCUUGGUAUCCUCACAUAUCUAAACCUCUCUUGACCGACACUCCCUCUGUUGACGACGUUCCUGUAAAGCCUGUCUUUCAGAUUCUGUCAUUUUGAGGCGCCUUGCUUGCCUCCUAUCUGCUUUUAUAUGUCCCGUCUUUGAAUUUGACUCUCUGUGUGACUUCUUUACCUUUAUUCCUCCUUGCACUUGCACUUCUUCUUCUAUAAUGUCACCAAUACCAACCUGACCAAUCACACUAUAGCCAAAUUAACCAAUCAGAUUGCUCAGAGGGACCGAACAUGCAUAUGCCUUAAUGUACUAUUACAGAGUAAAUUUAUUCAAUAUAGCAUCUUUCAUAUAUACUCAAUAUGUAUCAAUCAAGGUACACCUUAAAACCAAUACAUUUUACAUAGCAGAAUUAAUAACAGAAACAAUAGGUGCAAGGUAGUUUGAAAUAUUUUAUAAAAAGUAGAUGACAUUAACUUUGUUAGAAUUAAAAUUUUCCAUACUGGAAUACAAUUGUUAACCUAUUUCUCACAGA